GAUGUUUGAGGACUUGGAAGACUGGGGGAUUGGUGACCAAGAGUUCUCAGAAAUGGAGUCACGGACUAAAAUAAGUCAAAAAUGUCUCGAUGAGUUGUCUCAACGGUAGCAGGAAGUGAAGGCGACUCAGCUCCAGUUUAUGCAAAGAAUGCGCUUGUGGCUAAAGGGACAGAGGUACAGCGGAGCCUGAGAACUGUGUGUGAGGUGAUAAUCUGUGUAACAGACAAGACUGAAGUAGGGCUGGGAACGGAGCUCGGCUUGAUCCCCAACAUGGCGUACACCUGUGUGGUCCCAGGAGGAGCUGCAGAUCCAUCCACAGUUCCACAUAAAACAAGGUGUGGUCUAUGUCUGUACCUCCAGCAGGCAUUAAGCAGAGGCAAGAGGAUCAGAAGUUGAAGGCCAUUGUCACUUACAACUGAAGUCAGUCUGGAUAUGUAAGACCCUGUUUCCAAACAAAUAAUAAAACCAAUCCCCAAACUCAAAAUGCAUGACCCAAUUAUAUACUGCCUACACAACAUUCACAUUUUAAGUAGGGAUAUGCU